GAGAAGGGAGGAGUUAUUCAGGCCUCCGCCAGCUUCUAGGCCCUGGGGAUGGUCUUUCACCUCCCUCUUUCUGAUCUCUUUUUCAUGCUCCUCCUUGCUCCAAAGAAAAGCCGGAUGGCAAAAGAGCCCAGAACCUAUUGGAACUGACAAAAUCAAGUCACGGCGCCUACAAAGAUGAGGGGCAGAUUCUGGCUGCCUUUUAAUUUCGUCCUUCACCUGAUAUCUGUGCCAGAGAAUGAUAAAAAUCAUAAUAAAGGAAAUAAUGGAAGAGGAGACUUAUGUUACUGGGGACAUCUAACAUAAUUAUUUUCCUGAUUCAGUGGCAUGGUUCAGUCUUCCAGGAGUUCUGCUACAGAGAAGAGAGUAACCCCCAUCCAUCAUGGCCAAAGCACCCAGUCAGGCUCCGCUCUGGAUCCAGCCCGACAAAUGCAACCCUUGAAUAGGGUUUGUGCAAGCAAACUGGAUGACGACCGAAGAAACCCUGUCGCUUCUGAGAAGACACCCAAUCCAAGAAUGUGAGUUCUGGAAAUGUCAUUAAAUGUCAGUUAUAUACAUGC
rnacentral:lncRNA from 10 species